CAGACCGAUAGCGAACAAGUAGAGUGAUCGAAAGAUGAAAAGCACUUUGAAAAGAGAGUUAAACAGCACGUGAAAUUGUUGAAAGGGAAGCGCUUGCAACCAGACUCGCUCGCGGGGUUCAGCCGGGCUUCGGCCCGGUGUACUUCCCCGCGGGCGGGCCAGCGUCGGUUUGGGCGGCCGGUCAAAGGCCUCCGGAAUGUAGCGCCCUUCGGGGCGCCUUAUAGCCGGGGGUCCAAUCUUCCAGCCUGUUACAAGGAACGCGUUCGGCACGCC
rnacentral:rRNA from 1 species